rnacentral:rRNA from 1 species
AGAGUUUGAUCCUGGCUCAGGAUGAACGCUGGCGGCGUGCCUAAUACAUGCAAGUCGAACGGAGACGAUCGCAAGGUUGUCUUAGUGGCGAACGGGUGAGUAACGCGUUGGUGACCUGCCUCAGAGAGAGGGAUAACAGUUCGAAAGGACUGCUAAAACCGCAUGAGCUUGGUCGGACUAGAAGCGAUCAAGGAAACAGCGAAAGCUGCUCUGAGAGGGGCCUGCGUCCCAUCAGCUAGUUGGCAGGGUAAGAGCCUACCAAGGCGGUGACGGGUAGGGGACCUGAGAGGGUGACCCCCCACAAUGGAACUGAAACACGGUCCAUACACCUACGGGUGGCAGCAGUAGGGAAUAUUGGGGAAUGGGCGGAAGCCCGACCCAGCAACGCCGCGUGUGCGAAGAAGGCCCUCGGGUUGUAAAGCACUUUUUAGCGGGAAGAGGAAGGACGGUACCGCUAGAAUAAGUCUCGGCUAACUACGUGCCAGCAGCCGCGGUAACACGUAGGAGACGAGCGUUAUCCGGAUUUACUGGGUGUAAAGCGCGUGUAGGCGGUCGAGUAAGUUGGAUGUGAAAGCUCCCGGCUCAACUGGGAGAGGUCGUUCAAUACUGCUUGGCUAGAGGACAGCAGAGGGGAGUGGAAUUCCGAGUGUAGCGGUAAAAUGCAUAGAUAUUCGGAAGAACACCAGUGGCGAAGGCGGCUCUCUGGGCUGGUCCUGACGCUCAGACGCGAAAGCUAGGGUAGCAAACGGGAUUAGAGACCCCGGUAGUCCUAGCCGUAAACGAUGUGGACUUGGCGUUGG